rnacentral:rRNA from 1 species
UUUGAUCCUGGCUCAGAUUGAACGCUGGCGGCAGGCCUAACACAUGCAAGUCGAGCGGCAGCACGGGAAGCUUGCUUCCUGGUGGCGAGCGGCGGACGGGUGAGUAAUGCAUAGGAAUCUGCCCGGUAGUGGGGGAUAACCUGGGGAAACCCAGGCUAAUACCGCAUACGUCCUACGGGAGAAAGCAGGGGCUCUUCGGACCUUGCGCUAUCGGAUGAGCCUAUGUCGGAUUAGCUGGUUGGUGAGGUAAUGGCUCACCAAGGCGACGAUCCGUAGCUGGUCUGAGAGGAUGAUCAGCCACAUCGGGACUGAGACACGGCCCGAACUCCUACGGGAGGCAGCAGUGGGGAAUAUUGGACAAUGGGCGCAAGCCUGAUCCAGCCAUGCCGCGUGUGUGAAGAAGGCCCUCGGGUUGUAAAGCACUUUCAGUGGGGAAGAAAGCCUGGUGGUUAAUACCCGUCAGGAAGGACAUCACCCACAGAAGAAGCACCGGCUAACUCCGUGCCAGCAGCCGCGGUAAUACGGAGGGUGCGAGCGUUAAUCGGAAUUACUGGGCGUAAAGCGCGCGUAGGUGGCUUGAUAAGCCGGUUGUGAAAGCCCCGGGCUCAACCUGGGAACGGCAUCCGGAACUGUCAGGCUAGAGUGCAGGAGAGGAAGGUAGAAUUCCCGGUGUAGCGGUGAAAUGCGUAGAGAUCGGGAGGAAUACCAGUGGCGAAGGCGGCUUCUGGACUGACACUGACACUGAGGUGCGAAAGCGUGGGUAGCAAACAGGAUAGAAUACCCUGGUAGUCCACGCCGUAACGAUGUCGACUAGCCGUUGGUCCUCGCGACUUGUGGGCSCAGUACSCGAUAAGUCGACGCCUGGGGAGUACG